rnacentral:rRNA from 1 species
GAUGAACGCUGGCGGCGUGCCUAAUACAUGCAAGUCGAGCGAACAGACGAGGAGCUUGCUCCUCUGACGUUAGCGGCGGACGGGUGAGUAACACGUGGAUAACCUACCUAUAAGACUGGGAUAACUUCGGGAAACCGGAGCUAAUACCGGAUAAUAUACUGAACCGCAUGGUUCAAUAGUGAAAGACGGUUUUGCUGUCACUUAUAGAUGGAUCCGCGCCGCAUUAGCUAGUUGGUAAGGUCACGGCUUACCAAGGCCACGAUGCGUAAACGACCUGAGAGGGUGGUCGGCGACACGAGAACUGGAACACGGUCCAGACUCCUACGGGAGGCAGCAGUAGGCAACCUUCCGCAAUGGUCGGAAGCCUGACGGAGCGACGCGGCGUGAGUGAUGGAAGCCUUCGGAGCGUGAAGCUCUGUUAUUAGUGAAGAACAGAUGUGGAAGUAACUAUGCCCGUCGUGACGGUACCGAGUCAGAAAGCCACGGCUAACUACGUG